AUGGUGUCCCAGGGAGGUGGAUGUCUUGCCGACGAGGACUGCGCCAAAGGGCCCCCCUACCUCUUCACCUUGGUGGCUAACGUGCUCAAGCGCCUCAUUCAGCAAAUGUGUCGUGAAGACAAGCUGCAUCACCCCCUUCGCGAUGACAUGCCUUGCCCCGUCCUGCAAUACGCGGACGACACACUAAUUCUGGUCAGGGGCACCUCGGAGGAUGCAACCCUGCUGCGUUACGCCCUGGACCUCUUCUCCAACGCCACGGGGCUUACUAUCAACUUCGCCAAGAGCACCGUGGUCCCAUGCAUAUGA
rnacentral:rRNA from 1 species